rnacentral:rRNA from 1 species
UACGUAGGGUGCAAGCGUUGUCCGGAAUUAUUGGGCGUAAAGAGCUCGUAGGCGGGUUGUCACGUCUGCUGUGAAAACUCGGGGCUUAACUCCGGGCCUGCAGUGGGUACGGGCAGACUAGAGUGCGGUAGGGGAGACUGGAAUUCCUGGUGUAGCGGUGAAAUGCGCAGAUAUCAGGAGGAACACCGGUGGCGAAGGCGGGUCUCUGGGCCGUAACUGACGCUGAGGAGCGAAAGCGUGGGGAGCAAACAGG